GAAGUUUCUAUCAAUGGCUGUGAUUGGUCGUCUGUUAUGGCGUCUUCCCAUUUAGACCAAUCAAAUUCAUCGUUGAAAGGGUUGGUGCGCUGAGUGUGGUGGAGUGCGUCAUUUCUCUUCGAAGCUUCGUCCGUUUGGCACGUGUCUGCAACAGGUAUCGGCCGAUAGCAGAAUAUACCGAACAUUGCCGAGUGUUGCCGAAGUGCCGACCGGUCUACGAUGGGAAGGAAGGUCUCGCCAUUGCUCUCUCGAGCGUCGAAGCGAGAAGACGUGUGGUGGUCGUGCUCCCGUAUAAGCAAUACAAAAAUAUUCAUUUGAUUUCAAAAAGGCGCCAUGGGAUACGACACCAUUGAUAUUGGUUCGAAAUAUAAUUUUGUAAAGGGUAUAUAAUAUAAUUGGUAACGUUUUAAUGCUUUUUUUUGAG